rnacentral:rRNA from 1 species
GUCUUUUUGAUUAAUAAUUUAAAGUCUAAUCUGCCCACUGAUAAAAUAUUAAAGGGCUGCAGUAUUUUGACUGUACAAAGGUAGCAUAAUCAAUAGUCUCUUAAUUGGUGACUUGUAUGAAAGAUUUAAUGAGAUAUAUACUGUCUCUUUUUAAUUUAUAAAAUUUAAUUUUUUAGUUAAAAAGCUAAAAUAUAUUUAAAAGACGAGAAGACCCUAUAGAGUUUAAUAUUUAAUUAGAUUGAAAUUAUUUAUAAAAUUUAAGAUUUUAAUUUAUAUUAAAUAUUUUGUUGGGGUGAUAAAAAAAUUAAAAGAACUUUUUUUAUAAAUUUACAUUAAUAAAUGAAUAAAUGAUCCGUAAUUUACGAUUAGAAGAAAAAAUUACCUUAGGGAUAACAGCGUAAUUUUUUUUUUUAGUUCAAAUAAGAAAAAAAGUUUGCGACCUCGAUGUUGGAUUAAGAUAAAAUUUAAAUGCAAAAGUUUAAAAUUUUUGAUCUGUUCGAUCAUUAAAAUCUUACA